UAACCUGCCCAAGAGAUCGGGAUAACACCUGGAAACAGAUGCUAAUACCGGAUAACAACAGAUGAUGCCUAUCAACUGUUUAAAAGAUGGUUCUGCUAUCACUNUUGGAUGGACCUGCGGUGCAUUAGCUAGUUGGUAGGGUAACGGCCUACCAAGGCGAUGAUGCAUAGCCGAGUUGAGAGACUGAUCGGCCACAUUGGGACUGAGACACGGCCCAAACUCCUACGGGAGGCAGCAGGA
rnacentral:rRNA from 1 species